rnacentral:siRNA from 1 species
UGUCUCUUUCUUAGGUACUUGC